GAUGAACGCUGGCGGCGUGCCUAACACAUGCAAGUCGAACGAAGCGCCUGGCCCCGACGUUCUUCGGAACGAGGAGCCUUGCGACUGAGUGGCGGACGGGUGAGUAACGCGUGGGCAACCUGCCUUGCACUGGGGGAUAACAGCCAGAAAUGGCUGCUAAUACCGCAUAAGACCGAAGCGCCGCACUGGCGCGGCGGCCAAAGGCCCCCGGCGGUGCCAAAGGACUGGGCCCCGCGUCGUGGAUUAGGUAGUUGGCGGGGUAACGGCCCACCCAAGCCGACGAUCAGUAGCCGACCUGACGAGGGUGACCGGCC
rnacentral:rRNA from 1 species